AUUGAACGCUAGCGGGAUGCCUUACACAUGCAAGUCGAACGGAGUGGCGAACGGGUGAGUAAUGUAUCGGAACGUGCCCAGUAGCGGGGGAUACCUACGCAAAGCCGAACCUAUACCCCCUAACUUAUUGAGCCGCCGUUAUCGGAUUAGUUAGUUGGUGGGGUAACGGCUAACCAAGGCGACGAUCCGUUGCUGGUUUGAGAGGAGGACCAGCCACACUGGGACUGAGACACGGCCCAGACUCCUACGGGAGGCAGCAGUGGGGAAUUUUGGACAAUGGGGGAAACCCUGAUCCAGCCAUCCCGCGUGUGCGAUGAAGGCCUUCGGGUUGUAAAGCACUUUUGGCAGGAAAGCGGUACCUGCAGAAUAAGCACCGGCUAACUACGUGCCAGCAGCCGCGGUAAUAC
rnacentral:rRNA from 1 species